rnacentral:rRNA from 1 species
AAUGUGUUUUCAUCAAUCAAGAACGAAAGUUAGAGGUUCGAAGGCGAUCAGAUACCGCCCUAGUUCUAACCAUAAACGAUGCCAGCUAGCGAUCCGCCGAAGUUCCUCCGAUGACUCGGCGGGCAGCUUCCGGGAAACCAAAGCUUUUGGGUUCCGGGGGAAGUAUGGUUGCAAAGCUGAAACUUAAAGGAAUUGACGGAAGGGCACCACCAGGAGUGGAGCCUGCGGCUUAAUUUGACUCAACACGGGAAACCUCACCAGGCCCGGACACCGUAAGGAUUGACAGAUUGAGAGCUCUUUCUUGAUUCGGUGGGUGGUGGUGCAUGGCCGUUCAUAGUUGGUGGAGCGAUUUGUCUGGUUAAUUCCGAUAACGAACGAGACUCUAGCCUACUAAAUAGGCGUACUAUCCGGUAUCUCGAAGGCCACCCGGUCGGUUUCGGCCCGGUGUGGUUUUUACUACCGGCGUACACAUAUAUCUUCUUAGAGGGAUAUGCGGCAUUUAGUCGCAUGAGAUUGAGCAAUAACAGGUCAGUGAUGCCCUUAGAUGUUCUGGGCCGCACGCGCGCUACACUGAAGGGAUCAGCAGGUUUUCCUUGGCCGAAAGGUCCGGGUAAUCCGUUGAAACCCCUUCGUGCUAGGGAUUGGGGUUUGCAAUUCUUCCCCAUGAACGAGGAAUUCCCAGUAAGCGCGAGUCAUAAGCUUGCGUUGAUUACGUCCCUGCCCUUUGUACACACCGCCCGUCGCUACAACCGAUUGAAUGAUUUAGUGAGGUCUUCGGACCGGUGCGCGGCAUUGCCGAUGUUGCUGGGAAGAUGACCAAACUUGAU